rnacentral:tRNA from 1 species
GGUGCUAUAGCUCAGUGGCCGAGUGCUUGCCUAGCAUGCAUGAGGCACUGGGUUCAAUCCUCAGCACCA